AGAUAAUCAAUGUUAUGUCAUUUCCUCUACAAUUAAUAGAAGAAAUGAAUUCAAAACUGAUCAAUAUCCUAUUGUCAAAAAUUUUAGAAUAUUACUUAAGAAAAGUUUAUCAAAAGAUUAGAUAGAAUCUCUUUGGGAAGAAUUUUAUGCAUGCUCGGAAGAUUUAAGUUUUUACGAGUAGGCAUAUUUCAAAGUUUACCACAAAAAAAAAAAAACCAUUAAAGAAAAAGAAAAAGAAAAGAAAAAAAAUAUUCAAAAUACAAAUGUUUUAAAAAAGACUUGAAAAACACCUGUUGGUGAUACUUUUCAAACUAUUCAUCAUUCUAUGUAAGAAAUUGUUGUUUCUCAAGGAAACAUAGAGAUUCUUGUCUCUCCUCCCAAGAAAAUAUCUUCUAAACAACCAGAUGAAUUUUGAAGUCGUUGCAAAAGAUAUUAAAACUAUUCAAGCCCAGAAUAAUUAUACCAAUAUUGUUCUACAAUCAAUGUGCUCUCAACUCAACAGAAUUGAGAUUAAUUUGGAUUCUAAAGCAUCUUGUUUCAAAUAUGUUGAAAAGAGAAAAUCAAUCAAUUCUUUAUUCAAACCUUAUAAUCCUAAUAUGGCUCCUCAAAUAGGAAACGAAUAUCUCCCUACAGAGGCAAAAGUCCUUUAGGAACUUGCUACUCAAAUAUCUAAAUUAUC
rnacentral:lncRNA from 1 species